rnacentral:rRNA from 1 species
GACGAACGCUGGCGGCGUGCCUAACACAUGCAAGUCGAACGGAAAGGCCCUGCUUUUGUGGGGUGCUCGAGUGGCGAUCGGGUGAGUAACACGUGAGUAACCUGCCCUUGACUUUGGGAUAACUUCAGGAAACUGGGGCUAAUACCGGAUAGGAGCUCCUGCUGCAUGGUGGGGGUUGGAAAGUUUCGGCGGUUGGGGAUGGACUCGCGGCUUAUCAGCUUGUUGGUGGGGUAGUGGCUUACCAAGGCUUUGACGGGUAGCCGGCCUGAGAGGGUGACCGGCCACAUUGGGACUGAGAUACGGCCCAGACUCCUACGGGAGGCAGCAGUGGGGAAUAUUGCACAAUGGGCGGAAGCCUGAUGCAGCAACGCCGCGUGCGGGAUGACGGCCUUCGGGUUGUAAACCGCUUUCGCCUGUGACGAAGCGUGAGUGACGGUAAUGGGUAAAGAAGCACCGGCUAACUACGU